rnacentral:misc_RNA from 1 species
GAUGAAGAACGUAGCGAAAUGCGAUAAGUAAUGUGAAUUGCAGAAUUCAGUGAAUCAUCGAAUCUUUGAACGCACCUUGCACCCUUUGGCAUUCUGAAGGGUAUGCUCGUUUGAGUGUCAUUGUACUCUCACACUCCCGAUCUUUGCAUUGGGAGCAGUGGACUUGGGUUUGCUGCUUCACCGUCGCUUACCUCAAAUAGGUUAGUGCAACUCUUGGUUGGACAUAGUACGGCGUGAUAAGUGUUCUUCGCCGGUGCCUCGCAAAGAGGGUGGCCGAUCGGGAUGUUGUGCUCCAAACCGUCUUCGGAAAAUCUCUGACGACUUGACCUCAAAUCGAGUAAGACUACCCGCUGAACUUAAGCAUAUCAAUAAGCGGAGGA